rnacentral:rRNA from 1 species
CCUACGGGAGGCAGCAGUAGGGAAUAUUGCUCAAUGGGGGCAACCCUGAAGCAGCAACGCCGCGUGGAGGAUGAAGGUUUUCGGAUUGUAAACUCCUUUUGUUAGAGAAGAUAAUGACGGUAUCUAACGAAUAAGCACCGGCUAACACCGUGCCAGCAGCCGCGGUAAUACGGCGGGUGCAAGCGUUACUCGGAAUCACUGGGCGUAAAGAGCGCGUAGGCGGGUUAGCAAGUCAGAUGUGAAAUCCUAUGGCUUAACCAUAGAACUGCAUGUGAAACUGUUAUUCUAGAGUAUGGGAGAGGUAGGUGGAAUUCUUGGUGUAGGGGUAAAAUGCGUAGAGAUCAAGAGGAAUACUCAUUGCGAAGGCGACCUGCUAGAACAUAACUGACGCUGAUGCGCGAAAGCGUGGGGAGCAAACAGGAUUAGAUACCCUAGUAGUC